rnacentral:rRNA from 1 species
UUGCGGUUAAAAAGCUCGUAGUUGGAUUUCUGUUGAGAACGGCCGGUCCGCAUUUUGUGCGUGUAUCUGGUUUGGUCUUGGCAUCCUUCCAAAGAACGCGACUGUGAUUCAGUUCAUGGUGCGGCGCUUUGGAACCUUUACUUUGAGGAAAUUAGAGUGUUCACGGCAGGCAAUCGCCUUGAAUAUAUUAGCAUGGAAUAAUACUAUAGGACCUUGGGUCUAUUUUGUUGGUUUCUAGAGCUAAGGUAAUGAUUAAUAGGGACAAUUGGGGGCAUUCGUAUUAACACGUCAGAGGUGGAAUUCUUAGAUUGCGUUACAACGAACUACUGCGAAAGCAUUUGCCAAGGAUGUUUUCAUUGAUCAAGAACGAAAGUGAGGGGAUCGAAGAUGAUUAGAUACCGUCGUAGUCUUCACCAUAAACUAUGCCGACUAGAGAUUGGAGGUCGUCCUUUUAUGACUCC